UAGGGAAUUUUCGUCAAUGGGGGAAGCCCUGAACGAGCAAUGCCGCGUGUGUGAAGAAGGUCUUCGGAUCGUAAAGCACUGUUGUAAGUGAAGAAUGCCAUAUAGAGGAAAUGCUAUGUGGGUGACGGUAGCUUACCAGAAAGCCACGGCUAACUACGUGCCAGCAGCCGCGGUAAUACGUAGGUGGCAAGCGUUAUCCGGAAUCAUUGGGCGUAAAGGGUGCGUAGGUGGCACGAUAAGUCUGAAGUAAAAGGCAACAGCUCAACUGUUGUAUGCUUUGGAAACUGUCGAGCUAGAGUGCAGAAGAGGGCGAUGGAAUUCCAUGUGUAGCGGUGAAAUGCGUAGAGAUAUGGAGGAACACCAGUGGCGAAGGCGGCUUCCUGGUCUGCAACUGACACUGAGGCGCGAAAGCGUGGGGGAGCAAACAGGAUUAGAUACC
rnacentral:rRNA from 1 species